rnacentral:rRNA from 1 species
UACGUAGGCAGCGAGCGUUGUUCGGAGUUACUGGGCGUAAAGGGUGUGUAGGCGGCCUAUUAAGUUUGGUGUGAAAUCUCCCGGCUCAACCGGGAGGGUGCGCCGAAAACUGGGAGGCUAGAGUGCGGGAUGGGAGAGUGGAAUUCCUGGUGUAGCGGUGAAAUGCGUAGAUAUCAGGAGGAACACCGGUGGUGUAGACGGCUCUCUGGACCGUAACUGACGCUGAGGCACGAAAGCGUGGGUAGCAAACAGG